GACGAACGCUGGCGGCGUGCUUAACACAUGCAAGUCGAACGGAAAGGCCCUGCUUUUGUGGGGUGCUCGAGUGGCGAACGGGUGAGUAACACGUGAGUAACCUGCCCUUGACUUUGGGAUAACUUCAGGAAACUGGGGCUAAUACCGGAUAGGAGCUCCUGCUGCAUGGUGGGGGUUGGAAAGUUUCGGCGGUUGGGGAUGGACUCGCGGCUUAUCAGCUUGUUGGUGGGGUAGUGGCUUACCAAGGCUUUGACGGGUAGCCGGCCUGAGAGGGUGACCGGCCACAUUGGGACUGAGGUACGGCCCAGACUCCUACGGGAGGCAGCAGGGGGGAAUAUUGCACAAUGGGCGGGAGCCUGAGGCAGCAACGCCGCGUGCGGGAUGACGGCCUUCGGGUGGUAAACCGCUUUCGCCUGUGACGAAGCGUGAGUGACGGUAAUGGGUAAAGAAGCACCGGCUAACUACGUG
rnacentral:rRNA from 1 species